UCCACCCCCCCGAUCAUGACCUGGAAUGUGCGCGGUGUAAACUCCCCGGCGAAGAGGGAGGCAGUGCGGGAAGUGGUUGCAGCUCACCGCACCGCCAUCCUUUGCCUCCAAGAGACAAAAUUAGAUGUUUGGACACCGGAGCUUGUAUGCGACAUCGGUGGUGGCACCCUGCUCGGCUGUGCUGUGCUGCCGGCCAUCGGCACGCGCGGCGGUGUUGCCAUCCUUUGG
rnacentral:rRNA from 1 species